AGUGAACGCUGGCGGCAGGCCUAACACAUGCAAGUCGAGCGAGCGGCGGACGGGUGAGUAAUGUAUGGGGACUGCCCGGUAGAGGGGGAUAACUACUGGAAACGGUUGCUAAUACCGCAUACUAUCGGGUUACCCAUAUGGGAUUAGCUAGUAGGUGGGGUAAAGGCUCAACUAGGCGACGAACUCUAGCUGGUCUGAGAGGAUGAUUAGCCACACUGGAACGGAGACCCGGCCCAGACUCCUACGGAGGCAGCAGUGGGGAAUAGUGCACAAUGGGCGCAAGCACGAUGCAGCCAUGACGAGGGUAUGAAGAAGGCGUUAGGGUUGUAAAGUACUUUCAGCGGGGAGGCGUUACCCGCAGAAGAAGCACCGGCUAACUCCGUGCCAGCAGCCGCGGUAAUAC
rnacentral:rRNA from 1 species